rnacentral:rRNA from 1 species
UAGCGUAUAUUAAAGUUGUUGCGGUAAAAAAGCUCGUAGUUGGAUUUCUGUUGAGGACGACCGGUCCAUACCAUGUAUGCGCAUCUGGUUCGGCCUCGGCAUCCUCUCGUUUUGGGUUCCUGUGCUUGAUUGCAUGGGGCUUAUAGCGGGACUUUUACUUUGAGGAAAUUAGAGUGUUCACGGCAGGCUAUCGCCAGAAUACAUUAGCAUGGAAUAAUAUUAUAGGAUCGAGAUUCUAUUUUGUUGGUUUCUAGAAUUUUGAUAAUGAUUAAUAGGGACAAUUGGGGGCAUUCGUAUCAACACGUC